AUUGAACGCUGGCGGCAUGCCUUACACAUGCAAGUCGAACGGUAACAGGUCUUCGGAUGCUGACGAGUGGCGAACGGGUGAGUAAUACAUCGGAACGUGCCCAGACGUGGGGGAUAACGAGGCGAAAGCUUUGCUAAUACCGCAUACGAUCUAAGGAUGAAAGCCGGGGACCGCAAGGCCUUGCGCGUUUGGAGCGGCCGAUGGCAGAUUAGGUAGUUGGUGGGAUAAAAGCUUACCAAGCCGACGAUCUGUAGCGGGUCUGGGAGGACGAACAGCCACACGGGGACUGAGACCCGGCCCAGACUCCUACGGAGGCAGCAGUGGGGAAUUUUGGACAAUGGGCGAAAGCCUGAUCCAGCAAUGCCGCGUGCAGGAUGAAGGCCUUCGGGUUGUAAACUGCUUUUGUACGGAAAGAAAAGGCUCUUGAUAAUACCUGGGGCACAUGACGGUACCGUAAGAAUAAGCACCGGCUAACUACGUG
rnacentral:rRNA from 1 species